rnacentral:tRNA from 1 species
GCCAGGCUGGCUCAAUUGGUAGAGCAUGAGCCUCUUGAUCUUGGGGUUGUGAGUUUGAGCCCCACGUUGGGCA